UAAGGAAUAUUGGGCAAUGGACGCAAGUCUGACCCAGCCAUGCCGCGUGGAGGAUGAAGGUCCUCUGGAUUGUAAACUUCUUUUAUCUGGGAAGAAAUCCAUAUUUUCUAAUGUGGUUGACGGUACCAGAUGAAUAAGCACCGGCUAACUCCGUGCCAGCAGCCGCGGUAAUACGGAGGGUGCAAGCGUUAUCCGGAUUCACUGGGUUUAAAGGGUGCGUAGGUGGGCAGGUAAGUCAGUGGUGAAAUCUCCGGGCUUAACUCGGAAACUGCCGUUGAUACUAUCUGUCUUGAAUAUCGUGGAGGUUAGCGGAAUAUGUCAUGUAGCGGUGAAAUGCUUAGAUAUGACAUAGAACACCCAUUGCGAAGGCAGCUAACUACACGAUCAUUGACACUGAGGCACGAAAGCGUGGGAAGCAAA
rnacentral:rRNA from 1 species